CCCGAUGGGACAAUAAUAAUGAAGAUACAACCGAGUAGACAAAAUUGUUUGUCUGAAGAGAGUCAUAUUGUGUGGAACCAAGGCAAACUUGUUCAGAAUAUGUUCCUUAGGCUUCAGCACGUGGAAUGUGGAGAAGUUGAGAUACACCUCGAGUGGAUCGAUAUCCCCGGUUCAAGGGGUAUUUAAGUCAGACCCCGCUUAGGACGUGUGCUAAUAGUGCAAAUGCACAGAACCCGACAUUUUUAUUAGUUUUUCUUGGUAUUUUAAGUCUUAAUUGAUUCUUUGUAAACAAAAGUUUUUAUAGACCCAAAUUUUGAUUUAAAGAAUUUGGGCAGCAGAGGGCCAUAGAACUCUGAUGCGGUUUAAAACUGGUCUGUGAAAGAUCUCAAAAUAGUUUUUUUCAUUUUUUUGGGCUAAAUUGUACAUAUCAUUACAAAAAUAAAUGUUAAGGUUUACAAGAUUUUUAAAACAAAUUGUAUCAAUUCUAGGCUUGAUUACACGGCAAAAAAGUUUAAAUACAUGUAAUCAAACACAAUCAAAACUGAAGCCAUUCCGCUUGGAAGCGAACAAGACAGUAGAGAACGAUAUAAUCGUGAUAAGCAGGUGAGAGAUCAAACCGAAAUAAGCAAGGAUGGAGAGACCCUCGACUAGAGAUCGAGAGCAUGACACGAGCAAGAAGAUGUUUCACUUGGCUGCCUGAAUAAUUAACUUCCUCGUAGAAACAUAGACAAGCCCACUUAUGGCAUGUCAAUCAAGGGAUUUGUGGCAAACUAGAGAACUUAUUGCAACACGUAAAUGACAAAGCAUCAGAACUCACCAAUGUUGGUGAUUCAAACGUUCUACUAUUCGGUAGUCUUAUACUUUUUGGAUCUUUGAUAAAUAACAGAAGUAAAAGUUAUAUGACUUAUCCAAAGCUAAUGAUUUACUUUGGAAACAAUACAUGGUUAUGCAUAGUUAACAUACACAAAACAUAACACUUGUUCAAUAUACGUUUGUUAUUUCUUGCUGCAUUUAACUGCAGCUACUCCAUCAACUCUUUUAAUUCCAACAAGACACUGUUGAAAACAUGUACUCAGCAAUUAGGGUUCGAUAACCUCGUGCUUACCAAGAUGAAACUAUCAUUUCAAAAACGAAAAACUAAUGGAAAGUAUGACAGCAGAAAGUGUGAUGACUGCUUACCAUCACCUUUCACAUCUUCUUGAAGCAUGGAUUCUCCUCUAGGAUGAACGUUAAUCCACUUCUAAUUCUAGGAUCUUUGGUCUGGAAAUUUUUGUAGGAAACAUCCUAUUAGGUUGUACGCUACCAAGCUCGUGUCGUCACAAUGGAGAGAAAGGUACUGGUUCUUCUUUCUUUUGAGUGGAUUCUGCAGACCAUGAUUGUAAUAACCCUCAUGAGCCAAUAAAUUUUUGGUCGAGAAAAAUCCCGCUCGACCAGUUUUUAGUUGGUUUAACAAGGAUUCAUAAAAAUAAAAAUCGACCCGGUAGAUUAAUUUCUCGAAGGGACUGUCGUGUGGUUGAAAGACCUUCACUUGAUAGUUUGGUCGAGUCUUAAAUAUUUUGGUCGAAUUUUUAUUAAACUGGAAGAGAUUUUCCGAGAACAAGACGAGAGCCAAAGAAAGGAAUAUUUGGUUGAAAAAUUAUUGAAAAUUAUCAACCAACUGCUACAAUUAAUUUUGGACCAGACUCAUGUCUUCCACCAGCCUGCUUGCUCAGUCUUUAAUCACAUGACUUGCACCUACCUGCUUGCCUAGCUUCUUCAGUAACUGUCACAUGACAAUCACAAGCUGCCUGCUUACCUUGUUUCUUAGAUUGUCAUGUGAGAAGCACAUGAAAAGGCUGGAGUUUCUUCAGGUUAAGGAAAGGACAGCAGCUUGUGCUGAGAGUGCUGAAGCAGCUGGCUAGCUGUCCCCACUCAGCUUAGCUUUGUCCUGAGUGAAACCCUCACCUGAAGCAAGCUCACCUCAUAUUUAACCCCUCUCCAGCUGCUUCCCACGUUCAGAACCCUACAGAAAAACCUAGAGAAUUUCAGAGAGAAAGAGAGAAAGAAGAACAGAAAAAUCAGUGAGAAAAAUCAAGAAAAUAAAUCAAGAAAAAAUUGGUGGUGACCUAAUCUUCAACCUUAGCUUAGUUUCUUACCUUGAGAAAGAUCAGAAGGUGAGAUUUUUAAAUAAAACCCUAGACCUAGUUGAGUUCAGAUCAUGAUCAGACCUUGAUCUUUCUCUUUGAUCAGUCCAGCCACAAGCUUACCUUGGAGAAGAGGAUCAGCUNNNNNNNNNNNNNNNNNNNNNNNNNNNNNNNNNNNNNNNNNNNNNNNNNNNNNNNNNNNNNNNNNNNNNNNNNNNNNNNNNNNNNNNNNNNNNNNNNNNNNNNNNNNNNNNNNNNNNNNNNNNNNNNNNNNNNNNNNNNNNNNNNNNNNNNNNNNNNNNNNNNNNNNNNNNNNNNNNNNNNNNNNNNNNNNNNNNNNNNNNNNNNNNNNNNNNNNNNNNNNNNNNNNNNNNNNNNNNNNNNNNNNNNNNNNNNNNNNNNNNNNNNNNNNNNNNNNNNNNNNNNNNNNNNNNNNNNNNNNNNNNNNNNNNNNNNNNNNNNNNNNNNNNNNNNNNNNNNNNNNNNNNNNNNNNNNNNNNNNNNNUUGAUUGUUUGCAGUUUUUAAAAUGGUUUUUGGUUUUCGAUUUUCUAAAAUCUACUUUUUUACCGAUCAAGAUUUUUGAAAAAUAGAUUCCCUAAAAUUUAGGGAAACCAGAUUUUGAAAUAACUACCUACUUCUUAGCAAAAACUAAAAACCACAUUUUUUUGGUUUCCUUAAACAAUGUACGUAACUUUUGUUUUUUGUUUUUUUUUUAAUAUUAUUUCUAUAUUUGAGCAUUAAUAUAGUAUAAAUAAAUAAAAAUAGAUUAGUGAUAAUUUAGUAACUAUUCCAAAUUACUAAGAAUCAACAAAAAAUGUUGUCUAUCAUUUAAAUUUAAAUUCUAAAACUACAAAAUAAUCUAUAUCAGUAAAAAAAAAAUUCUUUUUAGGAUAUAAAGGGCCUUUUUAAUAAUAAUUUUUAUUUUUAUUAAAAUAACUUAGAAUAAAAUUUAAGAAGAAUAAUAUUUAUAACACAGCUUAAUUUUACCAAAGCUAUUACAGUUGAAUAAUAUUUUAUCUAAUAAUGAACCGAUAGCCACAUUUUUUAAUUUAAUUUAUUAAAUUAUAAAAAAAUUUAAUAAAAAAUUAAAAAUAAUUAAUAAAAAAAAGAAAUUUAAUUUCUAAAAUUUAGCAAAUACAAAAAAAAUAUGUAUAAAUUUAGUUGUAUUAAUGUACCUUUUAAUAAUUUUAGCUAGAUUAUGUAUAAAUAUAGUAAAAUUAUAAAACAAAGUAUAUAUAACUUAUGUUUAAACACAUAAUUAAAAUUCUAAGUUUAUGUUUAAACAUAAAAUUAUAUUUGUUUUUGCUGUUUUUUGUAAAAAAAAUAAGCUUAUGUGUGUUUUGGUAAUGAUAUUAUAUUUUUUAUUUCCAUAAUAAAUAUUUUACUAUUGAUAAUAUUUUCAUUUCAUUAUUUUGUAAACAAAAGCCAAAAACUAAAAACUAAAAUCUAAAAUCACAAAUCAUGUUUUUCAAAAAACUAAUAUCUACUGCAAAAUCAAAAACCAAAAACCAAAAACCAAAAUCUAAAAUCCAAAAACUAAAAAUUAAAAACCAAAAACCAAAAUCCAAAAACUAGAAACCAAACAAACAAUCAUCACCUAAAUGGGUUUGUACAAAAUUUGUGGAUCUAAAUGGGUACACCUAAUAGAUCUAUUUUUAAAUGGAUCUAAACGGAUAUGGAUUUUAAAUGGGGUGGGUCUUAAACGGGGUGGGUUUAAAUGAGUUGGAUUUUACCAUUUUAACAUCCCUAAGGGGAACUGACGGGAGACGAUUUAUACAAGUACCUAGUUGGAUUGCCAAUCUCUCACCAUCUCUCAGCUUUGUACUUAGGAAAGGAUUUAAAGGGUUGGAUCUUUAUCUAAGCCCACAUAUAACACAAUCAUGAAGUAAGUCAUUACAUUGAUUGGCAGAUAAUGUUCAAAAACGACAGCAAACAAAGACAGAACAGAAACAAGCAGACAGACCCAACCAAAUACCAUCACUUCAUUAAUUCCUCUCUCAAGGUAAUCAACUUGGCCACCCUGGCCUCUAUUUCAUCCGCAUUUGGCAUUUCUUCGAUGUAAACCUGACAAAAAAACGAGAAGAGGAAUUAUAUAGGGAAGAUUAGAAAGAAAGAAAGAAGAAAAGACUUUUAACAGUUUAACCACGCUAUUUACCUGUUCAAGUUGCCGAAGUCCCUUUGAAGAAAAACCCAAACAACAGAGUUUUAUGAAGAAGAUUGUUUCUAUUGAAACCAAAAUAAAUAAUAAUAAUAAUAAUUAAAAAAAAAAGCUUACAAACCACAUACCGAGCAGGAAUCCAGCACCACCAAAGACCGUUUUAAAGCAGUAUCCAUAAAAUUUCGAGACAGCUAACAAAUAAACAAACAAAAAAAGCUGAUUCCAACAAAAAUUAGGAACAAAAAAAAAAACUGAUUGAAGGAGAAAUUUUGAUAUGCCAAUAAAUGAGAUACCUUUCUGAUCACUCACGGAUGAAAAAUCACGAUACUGUAGCCUCCCCUUGCCACAAGACUGCAUAUUUAUUCGUUUAAUUCAACCUCAGUGAACAGAGACAAAGGCAAAAUAAAAUCAAACACAGCAAGAGAGACAAGAUCUAUCGAUUACCUUAGCCAAUGUGUUUCCCAGGAAACGCAACAUCUUCUUUUGUCCUCGUCGAAUUGGAGAGUCUAGGGUUUUCGAGAUUGAGGAUCUUGGUUCCAAAUUUAUGAUUAACUAGUAUUACUCCCGUGCCUUGCACGAGUCAAAUCUAUUAGGUUUUUAUAAUAUUUCCUUCUUUUCCAAAACAUUGCCAAAAUCAUCAUCCUAGUGUGUAAGUUUCCUAUAUGAAUACAGAAAAAAUAAAUGUAUUAGUAAACUAGUAUUCGACGAAUAUUCAAUGUUAUUAACUAUACAAUAAUAAGUUCAAAAUUUCAUUAUAUAUAGUAUUCGAAGAAUCCUUACGUAGGUAUCAAACUACAGUAUUUGAUGUAGUAUUCGACAAAAUUUCAAACUACAGUAUUCAAAAUUACGUAGUGAUCAAACUACGUUACGUAGUGACGAAUCCUUACGUAGUGAUCAAAGUACAGUAUUCAUAAUUUCAUUAUGGGUGUGAUUGGUAGUGGCUGUGAGUUCUCUCUACAGCCUCAUUUCUUUCUAGAGCACUAAAUCUACACCAAUCUUGAUUUCUAUUUUUUUUAAAGUUCACAGCCAUUUUAUAAAAUCCACAGCGCUUCUUUGAAUUUUUGUCUUUACAAUUUCUCUGCAGAGACAAAAACCUACAGCCCAAAUUUAAAGACUUUUAAAAAUUAAAAAUCUAAAGCCAAAGCAAUAAAAACCACAGCAAUAUUUCUACAGUCAAAAAAUGAAAUCACAGCACUUACCAAUCAACCCCGUAAUCAACUCAAUUAAAUACAUAAAUUUUAAAUUAAAUAAUAACAUCUUUAAGAAUGAAAAGCAUAGUAUCCUAAUUUUUAGAUUAAAGAUUAACUCUAAAUAAUCCAUCACAAAAAUUUCAUUGCUUUAUACGCAGUCAUUUAUUGUACUACUUUAACAAAUACUUUUAACACCUUUUUGAAACAAAAUAUGUAAUUAAACUUUAAUUAUGCAAAAUAAAAUUAAUAACUUUUUUUCUUCAAGAAGUUAUCUAUAUAAUACAUAUGUCAUAAUCCAGUAUCAUUGUGAGAGAAGAAUAAAUAUAACAUUGACUUGUCAACUAUAUAUCAGUCAACGAGAAAGUAAAAGAUAAAUAACGAGUAUAUAUAUGUUUGUCAUUUUUUUGUCAUAAAUAAUGAGUAUAGAGAUUAGAGAGAGAGAGAGAGAUAUAGUUUAUAAAUCAUUAUUUUUUUUUUGUACUUUUGAUGAGUUAUAAAUUAGAUUAGAAAUUUAUUUUACAAACAAAAUGUUUUACUUUUAUAAUUUCUACAACAAGAGAUGUAUGACAAGAGUAAAAAUUUAAACAAAAUUUUCAGUUCUAGUAGAGUACAAAAAUAAAAUCCGACAUACGGUGUGUAUUAACCAAAAGAAGAAUAGACUAUCCAAGAUUCAGGAUUGUGUUUUGAUCUCAUGAAUGAAUUGAUUUACACAGAAAAGGAAAUACAAAAUUAUUCGGGCAAUUCUCUCAAAUAUCCAAUUUUUUUUUGAAUUUUUGUCACAAAAUAGUAUUAAAAAAAGACCAAAAUAGCUCUUUUUUUUAAAGAUUUUAAUAUUUAUUUUUUAUUUUUUAAAAAUUUGAAACUCUAUCUCCGAAAUUCUACCCUUUAACUUUAAACUUUAAGUCUAUAUUAGUUAAUCGUAGAGUAAAAAUACAUUUUCUUCGUUAAAAACUAUUUUUGCGACAAAAACUUAAAAAAUGCUAUGGUAUGAAAUUUCUCAAAUUUAUUUUGGGUAAUGUUGACCGGAUAAUAUGUAGCAUAAAAAAGUGUUUGCCCAAGUGCAUUUAGUGAUACUUAUUGUAAUUAAACCAAAUUUUAGUAAUUGUAAUUAGCUAAUUGUGAUGGGUCAUUACGCGUCGCUAAAUUCCGCCCCUACCACAUUAAUAAAACGAUUAAUAUUGUCAUAGUAUGAUUAUAAUAAUAAUAAUAUUGUCUUUUUGUCCAAAAUGGACAGUCAAUAUAGACAAAGUCAGAGGUGGCGAAAACCUUUACGACAAUGAAUAAUUAAUAUAAUAAUUUGUCUCUUAUUGAUGUGUAAACCAGACGAUACUUCUGAGUUCCGUCUCUCUUCUGAAGCCGCUAUAUAUACCAACUCGAGAAACAAGUUUAACUCACAGAAAAAACAAGUUUGCUAUUGACAAGAAAAAACAAUGGAGAAUCUAUUGGGACUUCUCAGAAUUCAUGUGAAGAGAGGUGUGAAUCUCGCCAUUAGAGAUAUCUCAAGCAGUGAUCCUUACGUCGUCGUUCACUCAGGAAAACAGGUAAAAGACUCGAUUAUGAUGCCAUUUCUAAAUAAAUCUUGUGAUGCAUCUUUUCCAACAUAACUUGUAAAGAUAGCUGCAUAAAAGUAAUUGGACAAGAAGACUUAAGUUCAUGUUCAUAUUUGUUGGUUCUCGUACCAUAUGAUUUAUUGGUAUAUUCGUAAUUUUUUACUCUAAGUCACCAAUUUUUCUUUCUUCGUUUCCUACAUCACAAAUCUUCUGGUUCCACCAUAAUAUGAUUGAAAAUGAUGACCUCUCUGUCGCCUUGUGAUCAAUCAAAAGCAUUCUUAAUUUUGUCCUUCUGAUUUGAUGCAGAAGCUUAAAACACGCGUGGUGAAACACAGUCUUAACCCCGAUUGGAACGACCAUUUAACGCUUUCUGUGACUGAUCCAAAUCUCCCUGUUAAACUUGUAAGUGAUUCUUACAUUUUUGGUUAGCAUGAAGGUUAAAUUAGCGGGCUUUACUAGAAAUUAAGCAUUCUUGUUGUUAAUUAUUCACACAGACGGUUUAUGACUAUGACUUGCUCUCCGCGGAUGACAAGAUGGGUGAAGCUGAGUUUAACAUUGCUGCAUAUCUUGAAGCCAUUAAAUUCCGCCAUGCGCUCGAAGGAGGACUUCCCGAUGGGACAAUAAUAAUGAAGAUACAACCGAGUAGACAAAAUUGUUUGUCUGAAGAGAGUCAUAUUGUGUGGAACCAAGGCAAACUUGUUCAGAAUAUGUUCCUUAGGCUUCAGCACGUGGAAUGUGGAGAAGUUGAGAUACACCUCGAGUGGAUCGAUAUCCCCGGUUCAAGGGGUAUUUAAGUCAGACCCCGCUUAGGACGUGUGCUAAUAGUGCAAAUGCACAGAACCCGACA
rnacentral:lncRNA from 1 species